GGGCUGCGAGCGCGGCCUGCUGCUCGGUGAGCGGCGGGGUCCCGCCUGUCCUAGCGCAGGCAGCCACGGCACCGGGCGGGGAUGGAGCUGGGGAGAGCGGGAAUGACCAGGUCACAGAAUCACAGAGCCGGUCGGGUUGGAAGGGUCCACAGCGGGACGUCUGGUUCAACCUCCUGCUCAAGCAGGGUCAUCCCAGAGCACCUGGACAGGAUUUUGAGUAUCCCCAGUAGAACUUCCUGUGCUUCAAUUUCUGGCUAUUGCUUCUCAUCCUAUUGUUUGGCACCUCCAAGAAGAGCCAGACUUCAUCCUCUUCAUACCUUCACUUCAGAUACUUUUGGGCAUUUCCCACAAUAUUUACAGGGCAACAGAGGCCGGUGCACAAUGCAUAAAAAUGGAUGAUUUUUCUUGCAAGACCCAGAUGUGCAGAUCCUCUCUGCAGGAUAUUCUGGAUGCUAGAAGCUUUUAUGAGUUCACAAGGAGACAGAGCUAAUGCAAAUGCAGAGACUUGUGAAAUAUACUCUCUAUGGGCUCAUGGAGAUAUAAAAGCUGAAUGUCGAUAGAAUAAUUCAUUAAUAAACUGGAAAGUGAUCAAAGACUAGAUGUAUUGCUGGCAGCAGAUUGUCUUCAGAUUUGCAUUUAAGCCAUUCAUAAAAUCUACCCAACCUUAGCUAUAAUUCUUCAUCAGAAGCUAUUGUCUGUGCUUAAGCUUAUACCAUGGGAGAAUGUUCACUGCUAGGUGAAGUUUUUUAUCCACAGUAGUAUCCCUAUGGGUAAAUAUGUGCUGUAUUUCUCUUGUUCAUGGAUGUGUAUUUCUAAAAGGUACAUUACAAACCUUUGUCUUCCAUUCUGCUUUAAAAGAACUGUGUGGGUGUAAUAGGGCAAGUAAGAAACCAUCACAACAUGUGUGCUAGUGGUGAUUAGUGAGAGAAACAGACUCUAAAAGGAGCUUGAUGUGAUGGGUGUGCCAGCACCUUUAAUGUUGUCCUGCCACAUUAAAAAAAAAAAAAGAAGGAAUUUUUUUAGGCAGUUUGAAAUGGUUAUAACUUUUUGCUGAAUUAGACUGGUAAUCAUUUUUCAGUGGGGUGAACUAUUCUGUAAUGCACAGGUAAAAAAAGGUAAAAAGCAUGUGGAGUUUGUCCAUAAAAAUGUGCUGGAAAUCACUGUUGAAGGCAGUUGACAAAAUGCAAACAUGAACCCGUGCAUUCUAGCACUAGUCAGAAGUAUGGAAAUGUGUCUUGCGAGACCACUGAUGUUACUAAAACUCUGAAAAAAUGUGGGACCACUUGUCUCCAUUUUGGCACUUGAUUUUUGAACGUUUGCAGUGUGUCAUUUUGCCACAGGGUGUCCCUAAAAACCUGCUGAGAGAUGUUGCAGUCUGUGUUUUUCUAGUCAAAAACUGUUUUCAUAAUUGGAACCAUAAUUUUCUAAAAAACAUAAAGUUUACCAGUUUUUAUCUGUCCAGCCAGCAGAAUACUGGGUGGACAGAUAAAAAUGUCAUGGGUCUGUUUCUGAUAAGCUAAAGGAUGAAAUACACAUGCAACAAUAAAUGCCUUCCUAUUGUUGAAGACGAAUCCAGCAAGAUAAUUAGAAAUAUUCUGAGAAUAAGCAAAAAUUUACAAAUGAAUUUGUAAAUGCACACCAUGAUUUAUUUAUCUCUUCUGGAUUGGACAUUUAAAUUUUUUAUAUCCCAACUACUAUUGUAUAAAUCAUGUAUCUGUAAAAUACACCAAAUAUUAUUUUCACUUUUGAAAACAAUCCUGUAUAUGACUUUAAUUUCUUUUUUGAUCAACGAAGCAUUGUUUGAUAUUCAAAAAGCAAUGUAACUGCUCUGCAUAACGUUAACCAGCAUUAAGAUAUGAAAAAUUAUUCACCAUAUGUCCCUUAGAGGAUACCUUAGACCAGAAUAAAACCAAUUAAAAAUGUAUCAUUUCACUCCUAAAAUGAAUUUUCAUUUGAGAUAAUUUUGUUAAAGUUGUGAAAACAUGAGAUGCCAUUUUCACAUCUCUUUUGGAGAUAAAUGUGAUAAUACACACUGGAAUCUCCACUUCCACCAUGCCAAAAUUUGAAAGUAAGAUUUACAAGAAAUCCAGGAUGGGGAAAGGGAAAAGAAAAAUACUUGUUUCUCUAGCUCUGUUUCUGGAAAUUAAAAAUCUUCCAA